CCUCUGCUUCCCUCGCUGCCGCCUCUGCUUUAAGUUGUAGCUGGAGUUCUUCAUAUUUCUUUUGAACCUUAAUUGUGGUCGCUUGCAUCUGAGUCAUCUGGUCUUUUAACCUCUGAACUUCAGCUUGAGACUGACUCGCCGAAGGCAUGUAUUGCCGCGAGCUGGAUCCAAAAUAUUGGGUUGGGUUAAUAAAAGAUCCUUGAAAUCUAACCCAACCAUACCUUUCAGGACCCAAAACUUCAGCAAUAAUCUGGUUAUCAAUAUCUUCAAGAUGAACAGAACUCUCACUGGAAGCAAUCGCUUCGUACUCCG
rnacentral:lncRNA from 1 species